GGUGAAGGCUGCUUUCUGAAGUGGAGUGCUUUCUUGCUAGAAACCCUCACCACCACUUGGCAUCUGGAUGUUAUAUACAUAAGAAUCAUGGGAAAUCUUAAAAAUAAGAGUAAAAAGCUGGAAUAGUGUGUUUUUCUUUUGCGAAUACUAAAUGAGAAAGGAGUAGCUGAAACAAACGAAGAAGGAAAAGGAAGUGAAGAUAGAGAGAGCUUGGGAAAGAAGAAAAAGAUAUCAAAGAAAACUGAAAGAAAGGAGAAGGAAAUUAUCUGAAUUAUAUUCAAUGUGGUCCAUGCUGUAAGACUGCCAGUGUGCAUCUGAGACACAUGAAAGACAUUAGGAUGUCAUUGGUGAGAUAGUCAUGAAGUAGCUGCUUUAAACACAUGUAUACCCCCAGGCACUGAUGGAGGAAUGCUGGAGAACAUCUGAAGGGCAGAUCUGUUAAUAAGGAUGUCUGGAUGUUCCAUGUGGAUGUUUGUUGCGCUAUCUGGCAGUUACAUAAGCAUCUGUGUAGCUCUAAAUACCUCAAUUGCUUGCUCCAGGAUUUUCAUUUUUUUCAUUUCCUGCAACUAUUGAUCUGGAAAAUGCUGCUGGAUGUUAGCACCUUUUCACAUAACUUUAAAUUGGAGACAAAGAGGUGGCUAAUCAAGAAUCCAGAACUAGAUAUCUGUAUGUGUGGGGGAUUUUGGCAAAAUAGAGGGAUAUUUGGAAAUACGUAUAUACUUGAAACAGAAAACAACAAGAGGUUACAUUGCAGGCCUGGUGACUCUGAAUAGGAAUCAAGGACACUUUUUAAUCAUGAGGGAACUUUCUCUAAUAUAGUUUUAGCUGCAGUCACUGAUGAAACCUUCACAACCUCCCACAUGAUUAAUUCUGAUGCUUCUCAAAUCUUUAUCAAAAAAUCACAGUAAUAUUCUUGACUGCAAUUCAUUCUUGUUAUCUCAUUGGGAACAGAUUAUUCUCUCUUUUUUUCUAACAGCCUUUUAUGUUUUAGAAUAUCAGUUUUAUGUCAUAUUAUGCUCCUAAAAUUUUCUUCUUUAGGCUAAAUGACCUUACCUGAUCCAAAUUCUCCUUGAUGUACACCUCCUUUUCUAUUGCUUUCCUCUCUACUGUCUCAGUUGUCCUAUAUUUUGCUAAAGAAUCCAGUAACUUAACUGGAUAGUGAAAUUGCAGCUGAGGCUUUCCAGUGCUAUGAAUUAGUCAAAUUACUUCAUUUGUCUUGAGUGUAUUUUUACUUUUUCUUCCUGGAAUGAGCUUUACCUUUAUAUAUUUACAUAAUUAUAUUCUUUAUUUCUAUAUAAUUUAAAAUUCACCUCAAUUAUCAGAUUUUUUUUACUGCUUAAUUUUCAUUAUUCCUGUAUUUGGAUAACUUAAUCCUGUCCAAUUUCUAAAUUAAAUCAAUGAUGAUAACUUUCCUAAGCUUCCACUGAAUUGCAUUUUUUUUCCAGGAAUUAGUUUUCUAUUUUUUUUUAAUUACAUUCUUCAGCAAAUUUACCAUACUCUUUAGAUUCUUGUAAUCUGCAAUCUAUUUAUACGUGGUCUGUUUCUUCAUCUGGAUUUUAAUGAAAGUAUUGAAAAAAACCUCAUCCAGAAUAGACUCUGCAAGAGAAGACUUCACCAUCCUUUUACUUUAAAUAGUAUGAUUGACUAAUAUUUUCUUUGGUAAGAAUAUUCAGCCACUUACCUAGUAAGGCUGUAUUUCACUGUAUUGAUUGUCAUUUAGAAUUGCAUUAAAACUCGUGAU
ensembl:lncRNA